GAUGAACGCUGGCGGUGUGCCUAAUACAUGCAAGUCGAGCGAACGGACGAUAAGCUUUCUCCCCUGAUGUUAGCGGCGGACGGGCGAGUAAGACGUGGAUAACCUACUUAUAUGUCUGGGAUAAUUUCGGGAAACAGGUGAUAAUACUGCAUGAUAUUAUGAACGGCAUGGUUCAAGAGAGAAACACGCUCUUGCUGUUACAUUUAGCUGGUUCCGGGUUGCAUUAGCUAGUUGGUAAGGGAACGGCUUACCAAGGCAACGAUGCAUAGCCGACCUGAGAGGAUGAUCAGCCACACUGGAACUGAGACACGGUCCAGACUCCUACGGGAGGCAGCAGUAGGGAAUAUUCCGCAAUGGGCGAAAGCCUGACCGAGCCACACCGCGUGAGUGAAGAAGGUCUUCGGGUUGUAAAGCUCUGUUGUUAGGGAAGAACAUAUGUAUAAGUAUAUGUCCACGUCUUGACGGUACCUAAUCAAAAAGCAACGGCUAACUUCGUG
rnacentral:rRNA from 1 species